rnacentral:rRNA from 1 species
AUUGAACGCUGGCGGCAGGCCUAACACAUGCAAGUCGAGCGGAUGAAGGGAGCUUGCUCCUGGAUUCAGCGGCGGACGGGUGAGUAAUGCCUAGGAAUCUGCCUGGUAGUGGGGGAUAACGUCCGGAAACGGGCGCUAAUACCGCAUACGUCCUGAGGGAGAAAGUGGGGGAUCUUCGGACCUCACGCUAUCAGAUGAUCCUAGGUCGGAUUAGCUAGUUGGUGGGGUAAAGGCCUACCAAGGCGACGAUCCGUAACUGGUCUGAGAGGAUGAUCAGUCACACUGGAACUGAGACACGGUCCAGACUCCUACGGGAGGCAGCAGUGGGGAAUAUUGGACAAUGGGCGAAAGCCUGAUCCAGCCAUGCCGCGUGUGUGAAGAAGGUCUUCGGAUUGUAAAGCACUUUAAGUUGGGAGGAAGGGAAGUAAGUUAAUACCUUGCUGUUUUGACGUUACCAACAGAAUAAGCACCGGCUAACUUCGUG